CCGUAAGCCUCGGGUUGACUAGCCCAAGUCUUUUGGAGACUACGUUGGUAUGGUGAACACACCCCGGAGUAUAGCCCGAGCUCCGGGCACUGUG
rnacentral:sRNA from 1 species